rnacentral:rRNA from 1 species
UACGUAGGGUGCAAGCGUUGUCCGGAAUUAUUGGGCGUAAAGAGCUCGUAGGCGGUCUGUUGCGUCGGCUGUGAAAACCCGGGGCUCAACCCCGGGCCUGCAGCCGAUACGGGCAGACUAGAGUUCGGCAGGGGAGACUGGAAUUCCUGGUGUAGCGGUGAAAUGCGCAGAUAUCAGGAGGAACACCGGUGGCGAAGGCGGGUCUCUGGGCAACAACUGACGCUGAGGAGCGAAAGCGUGGGGAGCGAACAGG